rnacentral:rRNA from 1 species
CAGUCGCCACGGGAAUACGAAGGGUGCAAGCGUUACUCGGAAUUACUGGGCGUAAAGCGUGCGUAGGUGGUGGUUUAAGUCCGUUGUGAAAGCCCUGGGCUCAACCUGGGAAUUGCAGUGGAUACUGGGUCACUAGAGUGUGGUAGAGGGUAGUGGAAUUUCCGGUGUAGCAGUGAAAUGCGUAGAGAUCGGAAGGAACAUCUGUGGCGAAGGCGACUAUCUGGGCCAACACUGACACUGAGGCACGAAAGCGUGGGGAGCAAACAGGAUUAGAUACCCGUGUAGUCCCUGUCUCUUAUAC